GUGAAUCAUCAAAUUUUUGAACGCACAUUGCACUCUCUGGUAAUCCGGAGAGUAUGCCUGUUUGAGGGUCAGUUUAAAUAAAAAUCGGUGUGGUUGCUGCCUUUCGUGGUGACGUACCGGAUGUGGGUUGUCUUGCCUUCGGUUAAGUGACUUAAAAUUGUGUAUGUUCUUUACGAACGUAC
rnacentral:misc_RNA from 1 species